AUUGAACGCUGGCGGCAGGCCUAACACAUGCAAGUCGAACGGUAACAGGAAGCAGCUUGCUGCUUUGCUGACGAGUGGCGGACGGGUGAGUAAUGUCUGGGAAACUGCCUGAUGGAGGGGGAUAACUACUGGAAACGGUAGCUAAUACCGCAUAACGUCGCAAGACCAAAGAGGGGGACCUUCGGGCCUCUUGCCAUCGGAUGUGCCCAGAUGGGAUUAGCUAGUAGGUGGGGUAACGGCUCACCUAGGCGACGAUCCCUAGCUGGUCUGAGAGGAAGACCAGCCACACUGGAACUGAGACACGGUCCAGACUCCUACGGGAGGCAGCAGUGGGGAAUAUUGCACAAUGGGCGCAAGCCUGAUGCAGCCAUGCCGCGUGUAUGAAGAAGGCCUUCGGGUUGUAAAGUACUUUCAGCGGGGAGGAAGGGAGUAAAGUUAAUACCUUUGCUCAUUGACGUUACCCGCAGAAGAAGCACCGGCUAACUCCGUG
rnacentral:rRNA from 1 species